rnacentral:lncRNA from 1 species
GCCUCUCCAACCGUAGCCUUGGCCGGCUAGACCCCCUCCGCGUCGUCCCACGCCGCUCCCCUCCCCCACUGUCGCGAAGCUCCCGCCCGAGCGGACCACGUGCCGGGAACCGGGCGGGGAGAGACCACUCUUGAACCCCUUCCGGCUUCCUCGAACACCCCAGGCUGCAGCCCAUGCUCCCUAUGCUGGGUCCUCAGGGUUGGGGUUUCCAUGGGAGAGCUCCUCAUAGGCUACCCGAAGAAGCAGUUACACAGACGGUGGCACCGUGGCUUCCAGCAGUUCACACCGUGAAAUUAUCCAGACCUAUGAAAGCACAUCGAAUCCUCCAGAAAGAAAAAAAAAUCUAAAUGAGGUAAAGAGGGAGAAGUCUUUAGUUAGCAGGAAUCUUUGCCAUGGAAGGGUUAAUGAUCUGAGAAGAA